UUCCUGGUGGUCCAAUCGUUAAGACUCCAUGCUUCCAAUGCAGGGGGAGCAGGUUCAAUUCCUGCUAAGGAAC
rnacentral:tRNA from 1 species